UUUUAUUUGGGAGGGGCAGUCUUGGUGCCCAGCAGCCGCGGUAAUUCCAGCUCCAAAAGCGUAUAUUAAAGUUGUUGCAGUUAAAAAGCUCGUAGUUGAACCUUGGGCUUGGCUGGCCGGUCCAUCUUUUUGAUGCGUACUGGACCCAGCCGAGCCUUUCCUUCUGGGUAGCCAUUUAUGGCGAACCAGGACUUUUACUUUGAAAAAAUUAGAGUGUUCAAAGCAGGCCUUUGCUCGAAUAUAUUAGCAUGGAAUAAUAGAAUAGGACGUUAUGGUUCUAUUUUGUUGGUUUCUAGGACCAUCGUAAUGAUUAAUAGGGACGGUCGGGGGUAUCAGUAUUCAGUUGUCAGAGGUGAAAUUCUUGGAUUUACUGAAGACUAACUAUUGCGAAAGCAUUUACCAAGGACGUUUUCAUUAAUCAAGAACGAAAGUUAGGGGAUCGAAGAUGAUCAGAUACCGUCGAAAUUUUAACG
rnacentral:rRNA from 1 species